GACGAACGCUGUCGGCGUGCUUAACACAUGCAAGUCGAACGGAAAGGCCCUGCUUUUGUGGGGUGCUCGAGUGGCGAAUGGGUGAGUAACACGUGAGUAACCUGCCCUUGACUUUGGGAUAACUUCAGGAAACUGGGGCUAAUACCGGAUAGGAGCUCCUGCUGCAUGGUGGGGGUUGGAAAGUUUCGGCGGUUGGGGAUGGACUCGCGGCUUAUCAGCUUGUUGGUGGGGUAGUGGCUUACCAAGGCUUUGACGGGUAGCCGGCCUGAGAGGGUGACCGGCCACAUUGGGACUGAGAUACGGCCCAGACUCCUACGGGAGGCAGCAGUGGGGAAUAUUGCACAAUGGGCGGAAGCCUGAUGCAGCAACGCCGCGUGCGGGAUGACGGCCUUCGGGUUGUAAACCGCUUUCGCCUGUGACGAAGCGUGAGUGACGGUAAUGGGUAAAGAAGCACCGGCUAACUACGUGCCAGCAGCCGCGGUGAUACGUAGGGUGCGAGCGUUGUCCGGAUUUAUUGGGCGUAAAGGGCUCGUAGGUGGUUGAUCGCGUCGGAAGUGUAAUCUUGGGGCUUAACCCUGAGCGUGCUUUCGAUACGGGUUGACUUGAGGAAGGUAGGGGAGAAUGGAAUUCCUGGUGGAGCGGUGGAAUGCGCAGAUAUCAGGAGGAACACCAGUGGCGAAGGCGGUUCUCUGGGCCUUUCCUGACGCUGAGGAGCGAAAGCGUGGGGAGCGAACAGGCUUAGAUACCCUGGUAGUCCACGCUGUAAACGGUGGGUACUAGGUGUGGGGUCCAUUCCACGGGUUCCGUGCCGUAGCUAACGCUUUAAGUACCCCGCCUGGGGAGUACGGCCGCAAGGCUAAAACUCAAAGGAAUUGACGGGGCCCCGCACAAGCGGCGGAGCAUGCGGAUUAAUUCGAUGCAACGCGUAGAACCUUACCUGGGUUUGACAUGGAUCGGGAGUGCUCAGAGAUGGGUGUGCCUCUUUUGGGGUCGGUUCACAGGUGGUGCAUGCCUGUCGUCAGCUCGUGUCGUGAGAUGUUGGGUUAAGUCCCGCAACGAGCGCAACCCUUGUUCACUGUUGCCAGCACGUUAUGGUGGGGACUCAGUGGAGACCGCCGGGGUCAACUCGGAGGAAGGUGGGGAUGACGUCAAGUCCUCAUGCCCCUUAUGUCCAGGGCUUCACGCAUGCUACAAUGGCUGGUACAGAGAGUGGCGAGCCUGUGAGGGUGAGCGAAUCUCGGAAAGCCGGUCUCAGUUCGGAUUGGGGUCUGCAACUCGACCUCAUGAAGUCGGAGUCGCUAGUAAUCGCAGAUCAGCAACGCUGCGGUGAAUACGUUCCCGGGGCU
rnacentral:rRNA from 1 species